GACGAACCGUGCGAACGUUGUUCGGAAUCACUGGGCUUAAAGGGCGCGUAGGCGGCCCGCCGCGUCCGGGGUGAAAUCCUCCCGCUCAACGGGAGAACGGCCUCGGAUACGGGCGGGCUGGAGGCGGGUAGGGGCAGGCGGAACUGUGGGUGGAGCGGUGAAAUGCGUUGAGAUCCACAGGAACUCCGGUGGCGAAGGCGGCCUGCUGGACCCGAUCUGACGCUGAGGCGCGAAAGCCAGGGGAGCGAACGGG
rnacentral:rRNA from 1 species